rnacentral:rRNA from 2 species
GACAGAGGGUGCAAACGUUGCUCGGAAUCACUGGGCGUAAAGGGCGCGUAGGCGGGAAUGUAAGUCGGGCGUGAAAUCCCCAGGCUCAACCUGGGAACUGCACUCGAAACUGCGUUUCUUGAGUAUCGGAGAGGAAAGCGGAAUUCCUGGUGUAGAGGUGAAAUUCGUAGAUAUCAGGAGGAACACCAGUGGCGAAGGCGGCUUUCUGGACGGUAACUGACGCUGAGGCGCGAAAGCGUGGGGAGCAAACAGG